CUAUAAUGCAAGUCGAGCGGACCGACGGGAGCUUGCUCCCUUAGGUCAGCGGCGGACGGGUGAGUAACACGUGGGUAACCUGCCUGUAAGACUGGGAUAACUCCGGGAAACCGGGGCUAAUACCGGAUGCUUGAUUGAACCGCAUGGUUCAAUCAUAAAAGGUGGCUUUUAGCUACCACUUACAGAUGGACCCGCGGCGCAAUAGCUAGUUGGUGAGGUAACGGCUCACCAAGGCGACCAUUCGUAGCCCACCUGAGAGGGUGAUCGGCCACACUGGGACUGAGACACGGCCCAGACUCCUACGGGAGGCAGCAGUAGGGAAUCUUCCGCAAUGGACGAAAGUCUGACGGAACAACGCCCCGUGAGUGAUGAAGGUUUUCGGAUCGUAAAACUCUUUUGUUAGGGAAGAACAAGUACCGUUCGAAUAGGGCGGUACCUUGACGGUACCUAACCAGAAAGCCACGGCUAACUACGUGCCAG
rnacentral:rRNA from 1 species